GCCGGGGUCGCCUAGCGGAUAUGGCGCGGGCCUGGAGAGCCCGUGGGCGAAAGCCCGCGUGGGUUCGAAUCCCACCCCCGGCG
rnacentral:tRNA from 1 species